CUUUGACAGAAGACUCCAUCUCCCUUCGCCUCAGUUCCCAACGAUCAAAUAAGCAAUAGUACGGAGAACAAAUGAAGAGGAUGGAUGUCAGAGAAAGAGAUAAGUAACCUGAGGUGUAGCUAAGGCUCAGUGGAAGACUGUCCUGAUGAUGAAUGUGGAUAGUCAACACAACUGAGAAAUCUCCCCCCAAGAGGAGGUACAGAAGUGUGGACACAUUCUUGUCAGCUAGAAGAAGUGUUCUGGCUCAUCUCCUCCACCUACCUCAACACACAGAGAUGACCUGAACUUCAAACCACAGUGUCAAGCAGCUAGAGACAAAGCAUGUCAUGAUACAGCAAGAGCUCUCUCCCUUUCUGCCAGAGGAAAGGUUUACGAAAUUGUAACAACUGUACAGCCAUGAAAUGGAGCCUGCUCUGCACUCUCAACUCUCCAUGAACACAGGAAGAGUGAAAGCACAGACCAGUGAGAAUGGUGACCUCUUUUCAUACCACAGACUGCAUUAAGGUUAACUAGAGAAUUUCUUCAGGAUCUUUGAGUACUUGGAAUGGGAAAAAA